AACAAUUCCCCACUUCCUCUCCUCUGUCCAUCUCGUCCGCUCCAUGACCGCGCGCCGCCCUCCUCCACCUUCCUCACGCCGCCGCCGCCGCCGCCCUCCUCCACAUAAAUGGAUCCAUCGCCGCUCGCCGUCCUUCCUCUGACCUCCACCGCCACUCGUCUCUCACCUCCUUCACGGUACUCCGGGUCAAUCUGCGACAGCCACCGCCGUCCGCCUUCCAUCUCCCCCGCCGUCAGCCGCCGUUCUAUCUCCACCCCCGUUCGCCGUCGCGUCCCACCUCCCUCGGCUCACCGCGUACCACCCCACCCCCAACAGUACCGCCAUGUACGCGUUGCCUGCAACCCAUCCUCCCUGCUCCAGAUCCGGAUUAGUUCCUGUGGCGCAUCGAGCAAGCCACUGCCUCCUCCCCUGACGUGGCAACCGUCGCCUCCUCCUCUCCUUGUCCAAGCAAGCUGCUCCAUUCUGCUGUGUAGCACGAAUCUGAUGUAUCAUCGAAUCAUUGUUGAAGAUGCAGCCCACCUAUACAGUCUCUAGAUAUAGCAUCUUUUUACAAAUCAUUUUGGUGGUAUUGCUUCACAUCUUUAUAAAUCUUCGUGGUGGAAGGAAGCCAUAUAUCAUAGAUGCAGUGAAGAGCAAGGCAAAACCUAUCUCAGGUACCUCUCACACUUUGGUAAUUAUCUCACAAAUACUACGAUGUGUUGGUUGUGACCUUAUUAUUUGUUGAUGUAUUAUUUAUUUGACGAAUUUCUUAUUUACUAUGGGAAGUGUAAAGUGUUUUGGAAGUGUCCACCAUCCCAUCCCUGACACUAACCCAACCUCUUCUCAUAUGAAUCACCGCCACUAGUCCAGUCCUCUUGUCUUCUUCCGAACCCCGAUUCGGUCGCAGGUACCUUGUUGUCUAUAAUGUGCUGUCUAUCGGAUGUCUAGGACCACGAGGAGUAUAGACGCUUCCUUAUCAAGUUCUCGCAGGAACCAUUACAUGAUCUCCUGGCAAACAUAUGGUUACUGAUUUCUGCCCCAUAGUGCACUGUUAUAUUCAGAAUAGGUUCAUGUCCGAAUAAUCUUAGAAUCGACACAAGUGUCCUCUUAGAUUGUGUUUCUUACUCAACGAAGACUUGGAAAUAAUGCAUGGAAGCAAAGGCCAGAGAUAAUGCUCUGGAGCGAGCAACUAAACAUUGUAGGGCAACACUAAUUCAUCCCAUGUCAACUUGGAGGACAACACUACGGAUGACCACAUCGGUAAUGGCAACACUGGCGGUAGUAAUGAUGGUGAAACAUUUGUACAUCCGGAGGAGGAUCUCACUAGUCCUGCCCUUGGAACUAAUGAAUGACCAUCUUAUGGUAUUUUGGAUCUCUCUGGUGCUAGUACAUGCUCAUGAGCAAACUUACUAGCUGCUUAGUAUUUGACUGCAAUUUGAUGGAUGGGAAAUAUUUAAGUGAUAUGUAUGUACAUGAUGCUCCUGAUCAUGAACAUAGCUGACCUAGAAAUGUGUAUUUUGUUGGCAUUGCUCUGUGCAAUGUGAUGGAUGAGAAUCAGAUUGGUGUCCUGUAAUUGUUGUUCGGAAGCAAGUGCAUGUACAACUUUUCUUGUGUCAGUUUCUGGAUGUUGAAUCAUGGUUUAAUGCACUGAUAUGUGUUACGUAAA